CACGCCGUAAACGAUGAGUGCUAGGUGUCGGGGGGGAACCCUCGGUGCCGCAGCUAACGCAAUAAGCACUCCACCUGGGGAGUACGACCGCAAGGUUGAAACUCAAAGGAAUUGACGGGGGCCCGCACAAGCGGUGGAGCAUGUGGUUUAAUUCGAAGCAACGCGAAGAACCUUACCAAGGCUUGACAUCCCUCUGACCGGUGUAGAGAUACACCUUCUCUUCGGAGCAGGGGUGACAGGUGG
rnacentral:rRNA from 1 species